rnacentral:rRNA from 1 species
GACGAACGCUGGCGGCGUGCUUAACACAUGCAAGUCGAACGCUGAAGCUCAGCUUGCUGGGUGGAUGAGUGGCGAACGGGUGAGUAACACGUGAGUAACCUGCCCUCUUCUUUGGGAUAACGCCCGGAAACGGGUGCUAAUACUGGAUAUUCACUGAUUCUCGCAUGGGGGUUGGUGGAAAGGUGUUUUCUGGUGGGGUAUGGGCUCGCGGCCUCUCAGCUUGUUGGUGGGGUGAUGGCCUACCAAGGCUUUGACGGGUAGCCGGCUAGAGAGGGUGACCGUUCACAUUGGGACUGAGAUACGGCCCAGACUCCUACGGGAGGCAGCAGUGGGGAAUAUUGCACAAUGGGCGAAAGCCUGAUGCAGCGACGCCGCGUGAGGGAUGGAGGCCUUCGGGUUGUAAACCUCUUUCGCUCAUGGUCAAGCCGCAGCUUUGGGUUGUGGUGAGGGUAGUGGGUAAAGAAGCGCCGGCUAACUACGUG